rnacentral:rRNA from 1 species
CACGUAGUUGGCCGGUGCUUCUUCUAUAGGUACCGUCACUUGCGCUUCGUCCCUAUUGAAAGAGGUUUACAACCCGAAGGCCGUCAUCCCUCACGCGGCGUCGCUGCAUCAGGCUUGCGCCCAUUGUGCAAUAUUCCCCACUGCUGCCUCCCGUAGGAGUCUGGGCCGUAUCUCAGUCCCAGUGUGGCCGGUCACCCUCUCAGGCCGGCUACCCGUCGUCGCCUUGGUAGGCCAUUACCCCACCAACAAGCUGAUAGGCCGCGGGCCCAUCCCACACCGCAAAAGCUUUCCACCACACACCAUGAAGCGCGUGGUCCUAUUCGGUAUUAGACCCAGUUUCCCAGGCUUAUCCCAAAGUGCAGGGCAGAUCACCCACGUGUUACUCACCCGUUCGCCACUCGAGUACCCCGAAGGGCCUUUCCGUUCGACUUGCAUGUGUUAAGCACGCCGCCAGCGUUCGUCCUGAGCCAGGAUCAAACUCU